rnacentral:misc_RNA from 1 species
GUGCCUCCGGGCCUACGAGCGGUGCGCGUUGCCUGUGCCGUCUACCCGGUCCCUUGGGAAGCCGACGCGACCCACACGCCAGUCCGCCCCCUCCCGGCCUCGUCGUGCGAGGGGCGGCCGCGGCGCGGGCGUCGCGCGCCCCCGGACAAAGCGGCUGGCAGGCCCCCGUCCCGGUUGGGCUCCCGACGUCCCGCGAGCGCUCUCGGAUGCGGCACAUGCCGCGGUCUUCGUGGACUUCGUUCCUCAACCCGGACCUCGGUCGGUCGUCGAGACGACGGUCGGCCCGCCGUCGGGCCCCUUCCGCCCCCUGUGGGCGGGCGGGCGCCCCGGCGGCGGCGCCGGCGUCG